rnacentral:lncRNA from 1 species
UCUCAAGAAAGAGGCUUCCCAGAGAGUUUCCGGUAAAAACAGGUUUAAUUAUUUUUUUUUCUUUUAAAGACUGCACCUGAGCUAACAUCUGUUGCCAAUCUUUUUCUUCUUCUUCUUCUCCCCCAAACACCCCAGUACAUAGUUGUAUAUACUAGUUGUAGGUCCUUCUGGUUGUGGCAUGUGGGACGCCCCCUCAACGUGGCCUGACGAGCGGUGCCAUGUCCGCGCCCAGGAUCUGAACCAGCGAAACCCUGGGCCACCGAAGCAGAGUGCGUGAACCCAACCACACUGCCGCGGGGCUGGCCCCUAAUUAUUUUUUUUAAACUCUAUAGCAUCCCCAAGAAAGUCCAGAACAUGAAAACCUCCCAAAUAGAUGAGAAGAGGAAACACCCCACUGAUGCAGAGGUCUGAAAGCUGGUAGUUUUCAUUAUCUAAAAGACAACCAAGAACCAAUAAGCAAGCAAAAAAGGCAUUUGACAGAACGUAACAAGUGUUGGCGAGGAUGUGGAGAAAUUGGAACCUUUGUGCGCUGUUGGUGGGAAUAUAAAACGGUGCUACUGCUAUGGAAAACAGUAUGGAAGUUCCUCAAAAAAUUAAGAAUACAAUUACUACGUGUUCCAGCAAUCCAGUAUAUACUCAAAAGAAUUGAAAGCAAGGAGUGAAAGAGAUAUUUUUACACCCAUGUUCAUAGCAGCAUUAUUCACAAAAGCCAAAACGUGGGAGCAACCCACAUGUCUAUCAACAGAUGAAUGGAUGGACACAUUGUGGUAGACACGUACAAAGGAAUAUUAUUUAGCCUUAAAAAGGAAAGAAAUUCUGACACAUGCUUCAACAUGCAUGAACCUAGAGGAUAUUAUGUUUAGUGACAUAAGCCAGUCACAAAGGGCCAAAUACUGUAUGAUUCCACUUAUAUGAGGUACCUAGAGUAGACAAAUUCAUAGAGACAGAAAAAUAGAACAGGUGGUUGCCAAGGGCUGGAAGGAAGGGGAAAAGGGGAGUUACUGUUUAAUGGGUACAGAGUUUCAGUUUGGGAAGGUGAAAAGAGUUCUGGAGAUGGAUGGUGGUGAUGGUUGCACAACACUGUGAAUGUACUUAAUGCCACUGAACUGUACAGUGAAAAUUGAUUAAGAUGGUAAAUUUCAUGUUAUGUGUGUUUCACCACAACUAAAAAGAAUAAUUAAAAAAAC